GCUUAACCCACAGAGCCACCCAGGCGCCCCCUGAAACAUCUUUUUGGACCUGUUUCUCCAUUCAUUCCCAGACUUCUGAAAGCUGGUGCCUGCCCAGCAAAUGGAAGGGACCAAGGGAGCUGGAGGCAGUGAUGCUGCCUGACAGGUCUAAGACAGGACUUUGUCAAAACUGAGGCUGCAGAUGCAGUGGGAAAGACAGAUGGGGGGCCGGUGGGUGUCUUCAGAGGCCAGCCUGGGCACUUGCAGCCCUCUGAUCUGUGGGACCAAUUUGGCCUCUGCACUUCACGUGAGGUGAGGUUUGUUUCUGAGGUACUCACCAGAGUGAACUUUGACCCCAGCUCCUAACCAGUCCAGGCCCAGCCAACUUGAGUGUCACCCACCCAAGUCUUCUGCCUCCUGCUACCCCCUUACAUACCCCAGGCAGCUGAGAAACAUCAUCCCUGUUAAGGCUUUCUCUCCAAACUGCUCUGUUCCUUACAGACCCCAGGGCUGAUGUGGCAGAAGACAGAGCCAGACUGUAGCUAUGGUGACCACAGGACAUACUAGUGCUGUGUGCAGAGCUAUACAAGCCCCAGCCAAUGGUUACUAAUACAUGGGAAAGAUACUUCUAGGCUCUUCCAACAGACAAUAUCUCUGAACUCUAAAGACCAGAACAGAGGGGCACCAAGACAGGCGGCACUGCAGCAGUUAACCUAAAGAAAUAGAAGCCAUAAUACAGUCCUGCAGAGAAGAUUCUAGGCUUCUGCUUGAACCAGACUAGAACAGAAGUGGCCAAGAACAAAGACUCACCCUCUAGUUCCUAAUCAGGCCACUCUUAGGCUUUAUGGCUUCCCAGCCCCAGAGAGUCUCUAGUCCCUGAAGGGAAGGGAAGCAGAGAGGAGGUACAGCAAUGUGACCAGCGGUGGGGCGGGGGGGCAUUCUGGACAUGCUUGCACUGCAUCGUGCCAUCAGUGAGAGAUGGGCAGGAGGAAGGCAUUGUGGGAGCCCCAGUGUCACAGGAGGUCUUUACCCAGCCCAGCUAGUGGUGCCAGCCACUGUAAGGACACGUUUUAUGGAUAGGCAUAAAAAGCAGGGAAAACACCUGGAGACUUGAUUCCCUCUCUCCCAGGUCCCUUUGUUGCCAUUGGAAGGCAAGGCUGUGGCCAUCUCCCUGGGUAGUCAUGAUUCUGCACGGUGGUCCACGCGAGACAGGAAUGUUCUCAUAAAUGAUCACAGCAGAAAAGACAGACACACUUGUGUAUCACCUGUUUUGUGUAUCACACAGCUGUAUCACCUGUUUUGAAGAUGCUCUGCAAAAGAGGGAGCUUUGAUUUUAUUGAUCCUGUGUUUUGCACUGUUUGGAAGAAAGUAGAAGCCUUCUUGGCUUGUUAUACCCAGGAGGGUGGCGAGCCUGCUCUGGGUUUCUGAGUCCUUCCAUAGCAGCAUGGGAGAGACAGAGCCACACUGCACCUCACCAGGGGACAGCUGAGGUGGGUGCUGUCAGAACUCCGGCAUCCCCCUUGGCCUUGGAACAAAAAGACAGAUAAGAAGGUGAAGUACAAGGACAGAGGGCAUGGGCCUGGCGCUGUAGAGACUGUCAUCCAGCCCCGGGACUGAGGGAACACUGCAACUUCUUACCGUGCUUCUACUGUCUUCUAGGAAAGAGGACAGAACAGCCAGGGAAGGUUGAAGCUGUAGAAGGCUGUUCUUUUCUU